AACGAACGCUGGCGGCAGGCUUAGCACAUGCAAGUCGAACGGGUGUAGCAAUACAUCAGUGGCAGACGGGUGAGUAACACGUGGGAACCUUCCUAGGGGUACGGAACAACUCAGGGAAACUUGAGCUAAUACCGUAUACGUCCGUGAGGAGAAAGAUUUAUCGCCCUUAGACGGGCCCGCGUCGGAUUAGCUAGUUGGUGGGGUAACGGCCUACCAAGGCGACGAUCCGUAGCUGAUCUUAGAGGCUGAUCAGCCACACUGGGACUGAGACACGGCCCAGACUCCUACGGGAGGCAGCAGUGGGGAAUCUUGGACAAUGGGCGCAAGCCUGAUCCAGCCAUGCCGCGUGAGUGAAGAAGGUCUUCGGAUUGUAAAGCUCUUUUGCCAGGGACGAUAAUGACGGUACCUGGAGAAUAAGCCCCGGCAAACUUCGUGCCAGCAGCCGCAGUAA
rnacentral:rRNA from 1 species